AGAUUGAACGCUGGCGGCAUGCUUUACACAUGCAAGUCGAGCGGCAGCGCGGGGCUCAGGCAACUGAGCCCUGGCGGCGAGCGGCGAACGGGUGAGUAAUGCAUCGGAACGUGUCCCGUAGUGGGGGAUAACGCCGGGAAACCGGCGCUAAUACCGCAUAUGCUCUACGGAGGAAAGUGGGGGACCUGCAAGGGCCUCACGCUAUGGGAGCGGCCGAUGUCCGAUUAGCUUGUUGGUGGGGUAAAGGCUUACCAAGGCGACGAUCGGUAGCUGGUCUGAGAGGAUGAUCAGCCACACUGGGACUGAGACACGGCCCAGACUCCUACGGGAGGCAGCAGUGGGGAAUUUUGGACAAUGGGGGCAACCCUGAUCCAGCCAUGCCGCGUGAGUGAAGAAGGCCUUCGGGUUGUAAGCUCUUUCAGCGGGGAAGAGUAAUGACGGUACCCGCAGAAGAAGCCCGGCUACUCCGUGCCAGCAGCCGCGGUAA
rnacentral:rRNA from 1 species